rnacentral:rRNA from 1 species
AUACGGAGGGUGCAAGCGUUGUCCGGAUUUAUUGGGUGUAAAGGGUGCGUAGGUGGCGUGUUAAGUCAGUGGUGAAAGCCUGCAGCUCAACUGUAGAGGUGCCAUUGAUACUGACAUGCCUGAGUAUGGAUGAGGUAGGCGGAAUUUGUGGUGUAGCGGUGAAAUGCAUAGAUACCUCAAAGAACACCGAUAGCGAAGGCAGCUUACUGGACCAUAACUGACACUGAGGCACGAAAGUGUGGGUAGCGAACAGGAUUAGAAACCCCAGUAGUCC